GGCAGUGGUAGCUCAGUGGUUAAGGCAUUGAGGCUAGUGUCCAAAAGGUUGUGAGUUCAAAUCCCAGCACUGCCA